CGGCCUGAUGAUAAGGUCAAGGUCAGUAGUAGCGCGUGGGUGCCUGGUUGGAGUUUCAUGAUCUUUCGCCAGCCAUUCCAGCAGCUGUGGAGCUGCUAAAAUGCAGACGCUGCAGUAUAUCAGUUGUCUAUGAGAUAUUAGUGAGGUUCGUUUUGAAAGAUACACUUGUACUAGAGUAAAUACGUCUACUCGGUACCCAGUCUUAGCAUACAGUAUCAAAUCUGCGCGAUAACUUGUUAGUUUUCGUGUUUUCAAGUAUUUUAAAUACAUUUUAUAAUAAAGACAUGUUGGGGCAGGUGAUUUAUGUGUCGUAAAUGAAAGAGUGAAGGCUCCGCAAGGUAAUUAAUGGUGCCAUCUUUGCAACACCACCAUUGACUCCGCAUACUACUAUUCAUCCAUUCAUUUUUUAUGUUUUAGUAUUGGUUUUCAUUGAAUUAAAAAUUGAAGUACGAUUUGUAUGAUUUAUCUGCGCAUGGGUGUCCAAAUGAAGGGAAUGUUCUUCAUAUUAUAUAAAGCAGCCUCCGCGUAUAUACAGUUGGACGAGUAUUCCUGUUAUCAUGCAUUUUUAACUCUAUCGGACUGUCGUCCGGCGAUUCGUGCGCACCUCUUCCGGGAAAGUAGUGCUUUCUUUUCAGAACAUCCAUUUUUGGAUACUUUGACCGGUAUGUAUUUAUACUAUGUAUUUGACCGGCGAAAUGCCGUGCGCGAAGGCACAGCCAGCGAAAGGUUUUCUUCGGUCAACCUUUUUUUCUGACUUGUGAGUGAGCCACUGAGCUCCUAUCUGCCGCAGCUGUUGUUCCCGUUCAUCUCGAGAUUCACGACCGCACAACUUCCAGCCGGAUUGUUGAGGCAGAUACAGGAAACGUAAGUCACAAAAAGUACGCACUAAAUUUGUUGUAGAGCCAGUCUUGUUAACAACAUUUUACGUACAGAGCCGAGUCCGAAGGUGAGACCCCAUCGGUUAAAGGACUUCUGCAACGUUAUAAAAUCAUUGACAUAGACAUAACGGUACAUAACAUAACGGUACAUAACGGUACAUAGAUAUAACGGAAGCGGACAGUGCAAAUGCUGUUUUUCAUUUUGUAGUUUUGUGAUAAAGAGCCGCAAAACCACAGAAUAGCUGCUGGAAUAUGCUCGCUGAUUAUUAGCUAACAAUAAGUUUGUAAAGCAUAAAAGAAACCGAAAGCCGCAGAAUCAAGGCCGCACUGUUCGUGCAGGUUAGCGUAUUUUUAUUUAUACAAGUACAAGUACAAACAAAAUAUAAUCGUGCUGGCCACUGGUCAGUUUUGUGUGGCGUGUCGAAACAUACUUACAAUGUACAAUGCUGUACUCGUACUGUAGCUGCAAUAUUCAGACGUCGGCACUGAUAGCAUAACAGUACUAAUGCAUCAUGCAAACGUGUUCAUGUCUAGUGACAACGUGGCUAACGUUGCAGUUACAGUGCUUAUACCGGGCAAACACUACGAACGGUUCUGAAUUCCGACGAGUCCGGAAGUCAGCACAAUUUACUCAACAAAAUCGUAAUUCUCAGCAAACUGUGCGUGUAUUUACACUUCUCCCGGGCAGUUUUUCCACGAGUAAGCAUUUUGAUUUAUGUGGGUAAGUACUGCGUGUCUACAUAAUUUAUAAGACGAGGGUAAACAACGAUUAACAUGAUCGUUGUAAACGAUUGGAAAGGUGUACAUAACACCAGUUUCCUAAACUUUUAAUCCAUCCGCAUAAUUUGCACGAUUUUGCAUAACUGAAAGUGAACACCAAUAAAACUACGUUUUAACGGUAAAGAAACAGAUCUGGGUUUAUAAAACCGGCUUCCAGUCUAUUCACGAUAGCUCUCGAGCGAAAGAUCAUACUACACUGUAACGUUAUUAUAUUGUAUCUACGGUAUAUAGCUUAGAAUUUUCUCAAAUUUUGCAAUUAAAAGUGCGUGAAAAUGAAUAACAUGUAACAAGUACAAAUAUUGACAAGAUGCACAUGGAUAGGCUAUUUUGGGAAUCCGCAUUUAAGCGGCAGCAGGAAGUCCUUAUUUGCAAUUGCAUGGCAGCAAGACAUCCGUAACUUUCAGUACUUGCAAAUAAUAUAGCAGGCAUGAAUUAUCCCUGGGAGCCAUAGCAGGAUGGUUAGCAAAAUGUUAAUAGCCAGAUCUUUGCCGCAUCCUCGUUCCAGGAAGACACCCAGUGGUGGAAAAAUAAAAGCGGCGAUGAACUUGCAGAUGUCGGUACAGGUUAGCGGCAUUUUGCGCUACACAGAACACCCUGAUUAAAAGUACUACUCCGUACGUACAUACUAUAACAUGUAAUAUAGGUUUUGUUACGUGAAAUAUUUUACAGAUUAUCGAAAUAGCUCUUUUCCAUAUAAUAGGUCAAACGUAGACUAUCAAAAUUUCAUUGUUUUGUACAUUGUAAGCUAUGUGAAAGAUUGUUAACAAUAUAAAAUAUCUAUAUUUUUUACAAAAUUGCAAAUGCAAAAUCAUACAAAAUUAAAGUCAUUGGUCAUUACACCUUUGUGCGACUUUAAUCGGCUUGUUCUACCGGAAACGGUUUUUAAUGGCAAUUCUCUAAUCUUACCGGUUCAGGAAGCGGAGUAGUAAAAAAUCAAUUGGGUGCCCGGCAAGUUGCAAUCAGUGACAACCAAGAACUUUGAUCAGAAACUGAAAAAGGUACUUACUUCCGAUCCACGAAAAUGCCGACCGACCGAUUAACGUUUCGACCAGCAGAUGCAGCGCACUGAAACGAACGCUUGGAUUCAGUUUUCGUCGUUGUCAUUCACGCCAAAACCAGCCGGAAGGCAGCGGCAGUACGGUGCAUUACGAACCAGGAGCGGCCUGUUCAGACGCCCAAGGCUUGCAUUUCUGUACGAGUUUUAUUCUUUUAUUGCAUUGUGUCGAAAAAUACCUGCGCGCUGACGCGAUGACUUAUUAAACUUAAUGUACGCAUAGAUGAUAAAAAGGCCGGUGUAGUCGAUGGCAUGAGUAAACUUAAAAGGUGG